CUUCCCUCGGAUUCUCUUCAGUCUUCAAUCUACAAAACCUCAAACCCCCAAGAGUCUAAGUGGACGCCGAAACCCUCCUACCAAAGUCCUUCACAUGGAGGCGAGUUCGUUUAGGCGGCAGCGAUUUAUUUCAGACGGCAGCGUUUUCUUCGUCCUGCGCCCUACACCCUACGAUGCUUCGAAAUCAAAAUUUUAAGUUUUAGUGCCUGAAGCAUCAGGAGGUCGAAAUUGUCUAAAUUUGAGGGUUUUGAAUUUUUGGUGUUCUUGUGAUGGGUUGCUUGAGGAGGCAGAGAUUGUGGAUGUUACAUGUUAUUAUGCUUAGGUAUCUCGCAUUGCCUGGAAGCUCACCAGGUUGUAAAGCUGGGAGCUUUUUAACCAUUGUCUACAAUUUCUUGUUCUAAAAGGCUGAAAUUUUGAAAGUUAUUGAAUAUUGUAGCUCAUAUUGGUGGUAUAAUAUUUGUUAAAAUAGUAUCUGGAUUGUUGGGAAAAUGGGUUCAGAAGGUCUUGCACUGUCAGCAGUAACAGUUCAUGUGACAGGUUUUAAGAAGUUUCAUGGAGUUGCCGAAAAUCCAACAGAGACAAUUGUGCGUAAUCUGAAAGAAUACAUGGAGAAGAAGGGUUUACCAAAGGGGCUGGCGUUAGGGAGCUACGAUUUUCUUGAAACUGCAGAACAUGGGGAAGUUGCUCCUCUUCAUCAGAAGCUGCAAUCUGCCAUUAACGGGAAUGAUUCAGAAUUGCCAAAUUCUAGGACUGUUAUUUGGAGAGAUAGAUGAAGAUACAUCUCGACUAAAGACUAGUAGUUAGCUUACUAGCUGAUCUUGGCUGCAAUGGAUCAAUCUUGUUGGAGGAUCUCAUAAAUGAAAUCUCCCAGUUUGGGGCUGCAGAGCUACAUGCGGUCUCUUCCUUCAUAGGCGGGAUUGCUUCACAUGAAGUGAUAAAGAUCAUUGUCAGUUUCCAAGUUAUGAUAAAGAGCAGAUUGACGAAGUAAGAACCGAAUGGGUGCGCCAUGUUGUUCAACAAUUGUAUUAUAGCUAGGUUAUGUUGAAGGAACCAACAAACAUAAGACUUUAUUAAUUAAUUUAUUUUAUGUAGUUUAAUGUUUAGAUUUUUAUUUUAUAUCUAUGUAAUCGGUUUUAUUAGAGUUAUAAUUGCAAAAAUUCUUUUAAUUGAGGUUUGAAAAUUAAUUUUCAAACUAUUUACUAUUCUUCAAUAUAUGGUGGCGCUACUAAAUGUACCUUUUACUUUUAAUAGCGGAGCCAUCAACAGCGCUUCAAGAAGCGCUAUUA